CAGCCGUGUAGUGACAGGUUUCACACUUGGAACAAAAAGCGCGAGUGUUUAGUUGCUGCUGCUGCCCAGUUGUACUGAGCAAUUUUUAACGUUGAGGAUAGGUCGCACAGCCUGGAAUGACGCCGUGGGUCUGCAGGCUCAUACCGAAGGGGAAAUGGCGUGUAAACGGGGGAGAAUGAGUUUUAAGGAAUCUCAGGAGUGUCUGGUAUCAGUGAUUGCUGUGGAAGUUACCAGCUGCAACAGAAUAGAGAAACAGCCGAGUAGGAGGAGGGGGUUCAUUAUCUACAAUAAACAAUGGACACUUGAUGGAGAUGGACAAUGGAAGAUUAUGGAGAAAUGAAAGAAGAGAGAUGUGCUCUUGAUGGACUGAAAUGAUGAUAAGUAGCCCUAAAUUAGAACUGUUGUGAAGUCACCGUGAAAGGAACUAAGUGAACAAGAGUUUCGAAUUUAUCAACACGUGUUCAUACGCAAGGUGCAAAAGGGUUUCCUAAAAUAAAAUUAUUUUUAAAACAAAACAAACAAACAAAAAGCCAAACAACACUCAAGAUAAGAAGAUUUUACUGGGAGAACUUUUCUGUAGUUUUUAUAGAAGUUUGUUGAUUUGAGAAAUUUGACUGGGCUUUAAAAUAUAGUUGGAAAAUUACCUGUGAAGUUUACCCAUUACUGAUGUCUGAGAACAGGACUUCAUUACAUGGCUGUAGGCAUCCUCGACGGCUCUGUCUCCCUGCCCAUCCCAGCAAGGUUACAGGUAGGGCCUCCACUACUUCGAGCUUGUACAUCCAGUUCUCAGGAGAUGGAUUCCUGUGCCCCAUUGUCUGAGAUACCUCCCUGCCAUCUGCCACCUCCCAUCAGGGCACAAUGCCUCAGGAGGACAUCUGCUGGAGGUAACCCACUGUGAUCUUCCUAGGGAACAGAAACAGGACACGUGUGGAAGGAGAGAACGGGGUGUCGUGACCCACUUGGUAGGGUGCUCAAUGUUCUUUAUAACUUCUCAUCACACUGAACAAACACACCAAUCCAUGUGUCAGGGAACUUUUAUGUCCUAGUGUAUCUUAACUCCAGCAAAUAGCCUGAUAUUUAGUCUCAAAAAUGUUGACUAACAAGCCCUUAACUUUUACAACAAACUUCAACAAGCUCCCAACUCACGCAACAACCUUUAGGUUUCAGAAGUGUUGGCUGACAAACUCACAAUUUAAUAUGCUCCCAAUCCUAACAACAUUUCAGGUUCCCUAGUGGUCUGGAUUGGGGGUAAGAGAGAAGGAAGAGACAGACCAAUCCACUUUCUUGUACAGUUUAUCUGGUGCACAUGUGUUACAUAAAACACGUUUUUGCACUCUUUUGCUCAUGCAUGCAAUACUAAGCCCUUUAGAGACUACAGGUCUGUGGUGACCCUUGUAGUGAGGAGCCUUGUAGUGGGGGACUCACCCCUGUCUUGAUGCAGGCACACUGAGCGUGAGUCUCAAGGCAGCAAAGAAAGCUGGCUUCAUACAGCACUGCCCCACCUCCUCAGGACCCUCUUUUACAGUCACAACUUUCCUGUCACAACAGGCAGAAUGUUUGAGACAAAACAUGCUUACAUGCUUAUGCCUGGUUCUCCGUGAGGGGAGUAUGGUUGUCUGCCAAGCUGCAGAUCCCUCAUGGUGUGAUUCAUCCCAUUCAAAGGAAGUGGCAUCACUGAGACUCAUUUGUCCUUCAUUUCCCUUCAAAGAGAGAAACAUGGAAGACGUGGCCUUCAGAAGACUACUAAAAGUCUGCUUAUUUAGCACUUGAUCUUAGAUGCUUCACAAGAAAGACCAAGAAGUCACAGCCAGCUUUGUGUCUCAACCACAGAUUUAAAUGAAAUGCAUAGUGAGUGUUGGUGUUUUAUCUCCAUUAAGAAACUCCAUAUCUGGCUUCUAUACUUGCAGGAUAUUGAUCUUCUGUUCCAUAUAGUGAUCGAUUGCUUAGUUAACUGAAGGAACAGGCAUAGAGAAUGAGGUCAUGCUUACAUAGCUGACAGAAUCCUCACUGCUACAAGGACCCUCUGAAUUUGGAAUAAGCUCACACUACAGAUUUGAUUUGUGGUGAAUCUGAUUCCUGUAUUGGAUGUUCUCUGGUCUGCUGUUUUUAUCAAUCUGAUAUGUCAAAUUCAAUAGAUACCAAAAAUCCACCCUAAUCUGUUUAAACUGCAGAAAUGGAGAACAAACAAUCCUUAAUAUGCCACCUUGGCACAGGAUAAAAAGUAAUAAGCUGACUUUGAUUGUAACUGUCAUGUUUUUAUCUGUUGAAUACCACUUUAUUUUUAAAAACUGCAUUGAUCCUAUCCUAUGGUAAAUUUAAUAUCAGGUAUCUUGGAGGUCUGCAUAUUUAAGUGGCUUAAGAACAAGAUUAGCAGUAAAAUUGCAUUUCUGUGUUAUUAAAAAAAAAACUGAUUUCAUGUAUAUCACUGCAGGAAUUAGACUUAACAGGAAAAAAAUGAAUAAUCAUUGACGCUUCUGCAACUUCUACCAUUCCCAAAAUGUUUUGUUAAAAAAACCAAAACAACAAAACCAUGGGGGACUCACUUAAUACAUCUACAUCAAACAAAAUGCAAGAGCUGCUUAACUAUGCCAUGCAAUAACACAGAGUAGGUUAAUAGGCAGUUACUAUCCAUCUGAAAUUGUAGGAACUUUGUCAGCAGGGUGCUGUUAUUUAAAGUGGAAUUUGACCAGGAUAUGGGAGUUUUUUACAAAACAGUUAUUGUCUGCUGAUUAAGAUAGAGGACACUUCCACAGAACAGUAUCAUUAAUGGCCUACGUUCAUUUAUAAAGCCAGAGUUGUAAGAACAAAACUGCCUCACAACAGAAAAUCUCCAGGUUUCCAGUCUGCAAGGUAUCUGCCUUCAGGCAGUUGUUAAGAGGACAGGCACAGUUGCAGAAGAAAUGUCACUGAUUUUGAACUGGGCUAAAAUAUUCUAUAUUAAGACAGAACUAACAUAAUUCAAGAAUUUGCAGUGACACUUCAGCAUUUAUGUUCUUGGUCAGCUGAGCUUCUCCUGGGAUAUCUUACUAAGAGCCAAAUCCCUAGCAUAAGUGAUAGCAACUGAAUCCAAACAAUUCCAUGUUGGACUUUGUCUUCACUAAGGAAAACUUAGGGUAGAGGCAGAAAGAAAAAGAAGUUUCAUUUAGUUAGAACAAUAUCUCAUUAUAUGUAUUAGGUGGUUAAAAUAAUCUUAUGCUCCUGCCUGUUUACCUUCAUCAAGAUAGCAUGUAAUAACUACAAACCACCUUGUUCAUAUUAGGAGAAAAACACCCCUAUCAGUUAUUAUUUUCUUUCACCUAUGUAAUACUAUAAGUAAAAUUUAGUUGAUGUAUUUUUGUAUUUUAUGGGUGUUGUGAUAUCAAGUUACCAGUCCAUUUCACCUUACUUAAUUAUGGAAAAAAUUCAUUAAAACUCUUCAGUGAUUCUAAAUAAAAACUAGAACUUUCAUUCUACUGUAAAUUUCAAGAUGUUUGGUUUGCUUUGAUUCAGAAAUUUUAAAUUUUAAAAUAUUGGACCUUGUUGCAGGAUGGAAUUUCUAAGUAGAUCUAAUAUUAAGUAUGAGCCUGAAUCUUAAGCAAGUUCCAAUCAUUUAUUAAUGUUACUCUAAUGAAAAAAUGCUUUUACCUGUCAAGAUAGACUGUACUCCAUUGCCCAUGCAAUUCAUUUACCAGAAGUUAAUUGCUUGCCAAUCACAAGUGAUUUACAGACCUGUUUUCCUCACACUGACCAACCUUCAAUUAAUUAAAAAUUAAAACAGUAUAAAAAUCUAUUUUAUUUCUUUCCCAAAAUAGCUUCAUAGAGGCCUUAUUCUCAAGUACAGAUAUGUACAAUACAUGUCCUAUUGAGACAUUAAUAUUUUACAAUAUUUUCUGAUACCACAACUCAAUGGAUUCAAAAUUCUGCAAUGUAUAAAUAUCUCACAGGUAUCCUGCUUAGUGUCAGUUUACCUCACCAUUUGUUCCACAAAAGCUGCUAGUUACAGCAGUCCUUGUGCUUGACAUCUGUUAAAAACAUCUGUGAAUUACUUCAACUGCUUGUAAAAAUGAAUUAGGGAACUUGUUAUGGUCUAAACCCACUAGCACUUAUUUAUUAAUUAGAUUUCAGUAACUAGUUUGUGAACUUGAAUAACUUGUAUGCCAGAUGUCUUAUGCUGAAACAAGAAGCCAAGAAGAUGGGGGAAGGGAGCAGCAAGUGAGUGAUGUGCAUUUAAAAACAGCUGUGUAGAUUACCAUUUUAAAGAAAAUCCUUUGUUUAUUAUGUGCUUCUUUGUAACUGUCACAUGAUAGAAUCUAAUUAUUUAGAUAGGAAAUUAACAGAUAGCUGUUUGGUUGUUGCUGAAUGGGGAAGGCCUUCUUUUGCUUUCCUGUAAAUUCUGAGCUCUUUGGGGUUUUUUUAGUCCCUUUAAAAUCCACCUAUCACUUCUAUUUUUUAACGUUUCAUACCCUCUCUCAGUGGAAACGGGGCCACAUUCUUUCCCAGUGAAUAACACCAGCAACAAAAGAAACUCAAAUUUAGAAAGCCCCAGGCCAUCUUACAGUUUCAGCGACAUAAAAGGACAGUCGCUCCUUCUAACAGGACAGUCUACAGUUUCCAAUUUAUUUAAGGACUAGGCAAAAAUUAGUUAGCUUGUACCUGUCAAAUUCAUGACGAUUCCAAGUUGAAAGAAUGAGGGAAUCAUAUCUUAAGAUAAGCUCCACUCCACCCUGCUCUAGCUUAUGACAUUCAGAUUGGUCUCUGCAACCUGAUACACACAAUUCAGCAUGGAGCAGAGGUGGUGUCAUUUGGAUCUGGGCCCAUCUGUAAUAGACAACUUAUUAAAAACCCAAACAAACAAACAAACCAACCCCAAACAAAACCAGUUGAUAACAGUUGAUACAACCAGCAUAAAAACAUGUUUAAGCUGUUUUCAAAAAGAUGAUCAAACACUGAACUCUUUCAGCCACUUUAUUCCUCUGAUUACAUUUCCCAAGACCUGGAAGAAUGAACUAGCUAAUUUAAAAGAACACUGAAAGAGGAGUAGUUCAAAUUUUCUGUGUAGUUCUUCAAUUUCUGAGUUGAGUAUUUCUUCUUGUAUGCAGUGGUGAUGGUUAGGAGACAAAAAUGUGUACCUUAAAACUUCAGUGAGAGUUUUCUUUUUGUCUCAGUUUUUAUUAUGAACUUGCCUAUUUUCCAUGUACAAAAAAUACAUUAAAUAUACUACACGGUAGAAGAGUGAAAGAGGAAAAGGUAUACUGUAUAUUACACAUUCAGCAGAACAAAUUUCCAAUUUCCCCCUCAUCCACUGUGCUGGGUUUGGGUGGGGUAAUUUUCUUUACAGUGGCUGGUAUGGGGCUGUGUUUUGGAUUUGUGCUGAAAGCAAGGUUGAUGAUACAACAGAGCUGUUUUUCUUACUGCUGAGCAGCCCUUACACAGUGUCAAGAUAUCUUCUGUGAGGAGGCUGGAGGUGCACAAUGUGUUGGUAAAGGACACAGCUGGAGCAGCUGACCCCAACUGAGCAAAGGGAUUUUCCAGACCAUACAGUGUCAUCCUCAGGAUGUAAAGCUGGGGGAAGAACAAGAAACGGAGGGACAUUUUGAGUGGUGGCAUUUGUACUUCCAAAUACACGUGAUGAAGCCUUGAUUUCCUAGGGAUGGCUGAACACCUGCCUGCCCAUGGGAAGUGGUAAAUGGAUUCUCUGGUUUCUUCUGCUUGUGCAUGAGGCUUUUGCUUUACCUGGUAAACUGUCUUUAUCUCAGCCCAUGAGUUUUCUCACUUUUACCCUUCCUAUUCUCUUUCCCUUUCCACUGUGAGAGAAUGAUUGAGCAGCUGUGUGGGACUUGGUUGCUGGCUGGAGUUAAACCACAACAUCCAUAUACGUGUUGGUAAUUAUUUUCCUCAGCAGUUUGAUGCAGUUUGUGACUCUUAAAGACACAUGUUUUUGGACUUUCCUAGUUGUUUCUGGUUAUGCAUGUACUUUUCAAAUUCAGCAAUUAUAAAAGGCAUAUACAAGUAAAUCUAUAUCUAGAUUAUGUUCAAACCCAUCAAUGGGAUGAAAUAGAAAACAAACAUUUCCAUAAUUUAAGCUUGUUUCAUUUAUUUUUCAAAACUUUACACUGUCAUGUUCACUGCUUUAGUGACUGCAGCCACAAUCACACAUAUGUUCUUCCCAGGUCUCAGCAAGAAGACUAACCAUGCAGCAUCAAACCAGUAAGCAGGACAUAUGCAUACAGAAAUAAAAGCUCCCAAUAUAUUUUGAUGUAGCUCUCUAGUUGACCUGAAACUCUCCUUCAUAUGUAAACAGGGGUCAAAAGAAAUCCACAACAAUCUUAAUUUUAACUUUGAAUUUUAUUAGUAUACUCUGUUUUUAAAAAUCUUCUCGCAAGUUUGUUCAGCUAGUUUCCAAAGAGAUUAUUGUAGUGGCUGUUAAAUAUGGAAAGCCAAAAUCAAAAUUGAAAGGAGCCUUUAUAUUUGGUAAAUAGAACUGUAGGUGUAACUCAUUUUAAGAUAUGUAACAGAACACUUAAUUAUAUUGUUCUCAGAAUUUGGCUUCUCCAGUUAAUCUUGAAUUUGGCAAAAUUGUACUUAUAGAUUACAAAUAAGGAUAUUUAAAAGAUACUUACAAUUCACUCUGUGCUAUUUAUUUCACCUUCUGUCCCUGCAUUUUUUGUUUGCUCACAUGAAACUCCUACUGCCCAGCCAGCUGCAGAUUUUCUACUGCAUGUGUUCAUCUUUGCUCAUUCCAUUUCUCCUGUUCAUUUACACCUUCCUGAGUCCCAUUUCCCACACCCAGCAGCAGGUCAAUGGACAAAUGUUUUGGAAAGGAACAGCGAGACGAACACCAAAAUAAGGCAUUGGUAAGACAGAAAAAAUAUUAUUGCAAGUUUGCUUAAAUUCAGGAAACUGUAAAGCCUUUGGGGUUUUUUUUGCUCAUAGAUUUUGUCACCAUUUGUGUACUUCUUUUAGUGUUAUUUUGUACCUGCUAUAUGAAGGAGCUUCCUUAGGGGAUUUAAGAAGCUAUUGCUUUCCUCUAGAAAUUAAAUUAUUUUGUUCUUACUGUAUUCAGAAUCUGAUAGACUUGUCAACAUGUUUUUUCAUUUAAAUAGAAAAAUUCAUGCCUAACAGUGCAUCCAGGCAGCUAAAUGAUACUGAAAAUGGAUGAAAAAUGUGGUUCACUCCAGUUUUCUUCUGGAUUAGAGGUGACUGCUGAGCAGAUCUUGAAGGUUUAAAAAUUGAUUAAAUAUAGGUCAAUGGCAUUUCAUAAACAAGACCUGGCUACAUCUAAAAUAGCGACUUAAAUGUUCACAUGGUGGCUAGAAGUAUUUUUCUGCCUUAUUAAAGGAUUUAGAUAAAGGAAGUUUACAAUUUUAGUGAGUGCUUCCCUGAAAAUGUAAAUGAUUAGGUAUAAGAAUGCAGUGUCUGGAAGAUAAAAAGCAUGGUAUGGAGAUAUACUUAAGAAAGCAAGUGUUUAUGUGCUUGAUACAGUGUAGUUAUAGUAUAUUACACAGAGCACACACGAGCUGCCUUGCCAAAUUCAGAUAGGCUAUAAAUAGUGGUAUUAGAUGCUGGUGAAAUUCUAAGUGGAUACAUGCCAGUCUACUUUACAAACAGUAAUCCCUCUGCUAGCAUUAGUAGCACCUUCAUUGAUCACUCCAUCAUCAUGGACUUUUUUUUAUUGCUUCAUGAACAAUUUUUGGCUAAAAAUCUGUAUGUUAUUAACACAGUUUUUAUAUUACCUAGCACUUUUGUCAAGACACCAAUUCAAUGUCUGCUUUGUCAAGCACCCACACAAGUACUGGCUCAAAUAACCUUAUUUAGUAUCUCUGCUGCCAAAUAUCCUGAAUUUAGGAAGAUGUUCUUCCACUGAUACUCAUUAUUCCUUGCUGCUGGAUCACUAUGUUGUCAGUGUGUUGCUACUGGCUGAUGAUCUGGAUGCAAACAUCCAGUCCAUUAAAUGAAGUAGAAUUGUAAGGAUGAAGUGACUGGAGCAGCACAAACCAAAGAAGUAAUUCUAUUUCAUAAAUUCAAUGCAAAUUGUUUUUUACGAGGGUUUGAAAUUCCAGGUUUCAUAUUCAGGUUCCAAAAUGGCAUAGUGGUGUAAUGUUUUAAUGAUUAUUCCCUUGAGCCAUUCACAGAACACAUUGACUGGAUCAUCAUUAGUUGUUCCCCUAGUGCAUAAACCUAUAUGAUCAAUAUAUUUCCUGACUUUGUUCAAAGGCAAACUAUAAUGAUUCUGUUGCUCACACAGUCAUAUACACACAGUUUGAUGCUUCCCUGUGUUUGACAAAUGCAACCCUGUUUUAAGCCUCUGAAUACACCACAUAACCUAUCCAUCAAUGUGAAAUGACCCCGUCAUUAGAGCACAGCUCUGAGGCUGCACAUCCAUUCAUCAAAUGUCUUUCUUUGACCAUAAUGGUAAAUUCCAAGUUCAUACUAAUUUGUAAAAUUUCAUACCAUUAUUUUCAUUACUGCGAGCAGCAGACAUUAUAUCCAAUAGAAGAAUUAGCAAUAGCAGCAUCAUAAAUACAAUUACAAAAUGACUUUUCACAAAACUUCCACAAUCACUUAAUCAGAACUUGUUAGUACUACACAUGUUCUCAUUUUUUAGUAGAUCAUAGGACAGUUCUUAUUUAUUGGGGCAGGGGGAGAAACUCAUUGUUUAGCCUCCAGAAAACAGCUGUCAUUGGCUAAAUAUACUGCCAAACUUUCCCAGCAGUAUUUCCUCUAAGUCCCACACACUCAGAAUUUCCCCAAAUCUGCCUUGUUAAUUGAAAAAAUACAAAGUGAAUAGAAAGAAUCAUGUGCUACUAUUAAAACAAAGGUAACUGCAAACUUCCAUGUAGCCUGGCUGGGACAAAAAAAAAAAAAUUCUCAGAAGGACUUCACAGAAUGGAAAAGCCGAGUUUGAAGUGGGCUUCUUUGAAAUGACCUUCAGCUGAUAACUUAGCACUCUGUCACAACCACAUCUGCUGUCCACCAAGUAUUAGAGAGACAAUAAAAGGCUAAGGAAAAACACAGGGUAUUCCUGAGUAUGCCAUAAAUAAAAUAAUCUUACUUAAUAAAAACAGUGUAUUAGCCAGCUUCAUUAUUAGUGGUCUCUAGCCAUAGAGGCUGUUCAUAAGUUCAGUUUACCUGGGAUCAAAUUUACCCAAUCAGAACCUGUCACAUAGAAACUAGAAAAUUUUGAAGAAUAGUUGAUCUAUCCAUGGCUUCCCUUAUAAAAGCUUGGAAAAAAAAAUUUCACCAUGGAAAUAGAAAGAUUUGACUGGUGAAAUGCCUAAUUUUUUGCUGUUGCAACUUAUCAAUGUGACUUUUGAGAAAUUAUUGACUGUGACAAAGAAAAUUGAAGCUUUUGUGAUAUGGUGCAAGCAAAGACAUAUCUUCUGGACAGAAAGGAUGAUAAAUGCACAUAUUAAAUAUAUUAUUGGAGAAAAGUAGACUUGGUUGUCAGAAAUGAAUAGGUGUAAGUGUAUGUGCUUUGGACACAUCAGGAGCAGAGAUGGAAAUAACCUUGAGAAUGUAAUUAUGGAGUGAAUGGUGACAAGUCAUCAUAAUUGAGAGCAGCUAGAAAGGAGGUGGAUAGAUGACAUGCAGUAGGCUGCUGUAACUUCAGUUUCUGAAUGUUCAAAACUAGCAAUAGAUCAUGGAGGCUUCUAAAAAUUCUCCUGUGAAAUCACCAAUCUGCAGGUGCCAAUAAAUUGAUUUUACUUCACUUGCAAGCAAAUGAAAGAAGUGCAAUCAUUCUGUCAAUAGAGUGGUUUGUAAAUUAAAAAUGUAUUAAUAAAUAUACACUUUUUCACAAUGGCUUAAAUGUUAUGUACAGUGACAAUCUUCACCAUUUCUGAAUGAAUAUACAGUCUUUAUAUAUAUCAUAUAUGAUAUAUAUAUAUAAUAAUGUGUGUAUGAUAUAUAGAUAUGAUAAUGUGUGUGUGUGCGUUGGGGGACUAACAAAUCAAGAGCAGCCCUGUGCAAAAACCAUUUGGUGAUGCUGGUGGGUGAGAGGCUGGACAUGACCCAGCCAUGGGCACUCACAGCCCAGAGAGCCAAACGUGUCCUGGGCUGCAUCCAGAGCCCCGUGGGCAGCAGGGGAGGGAGGGGAUUCUGUCCCUCUGCUCUGCUGAGACCCACCUGCAGGGCUGCAGCAGCUCUGGGGCCCAGCACAGCAAGGACACAGACCUCUUGGAACUGGUCCAGAGAAAGGCCAUGAUGAUAAUCAGAGGGCUGGAGCAUCUUUCCUGUGAGGAAAGGCUGAGAGAGCUGGGGUUACUCAGCCUGAAGGAAGACUCCUGGGUGACCUUGUAACAGCCUUCCAGUACCUAAAGGGGACUUACAGGAAUGAUGGUGACAGACUUUUUAGCAGACUCUGUUAUGAUAAGACAAGGGGUGAUGGUUUUAAACCAAAAGAGUGUAGAUUUAGUCUAGAUACAAGGAAAA